GACGAACGCUGGCGGCGUGCUUAACACAUGCAAGUCGAACGGAAAGGCCUGCUUUCCCUUGUGGAUUGCGGGUACUCGAGUGGCGAACGGGUGAGUAACACGUGAGUGAUCUGCCCCCAACUUGGGUAUAAGCCUGGGAAACUGGGUCUAAUUCCCGAUAGGACUGCAGGGUGGUGCCUGUGGUGGAAAACGAUUUUCUAGUGGUUGGGGAUGAGCUCGCGGCCUAUCAGCUUGUUGGUGGGGUAAUGGCCUACCAAGGCGGCGACGGGUAGCCGGCCUGAGAGGGUGGACGGCCACAUUGGGACUGAGAUACGGCCCAGACUCCUACGGGAGGCAGCAGUGGGGAAUAUUGCACAAUGGGCGGAAGCCUGAUGCAGCGACGCCGCGUGGGGGAUGACGGCCUUCGGGUUGUAAACUCCUUUCGGCCGCGAGGAAGCCACCUGGUUGGAAGGGUGGUGACGGUAGUGGUAGAAGAAGCACCGGCUAACUACGUG
rnacentral:rRNA from 1 species